rnacentral:tRNA from 1 species
GGAAGCGUGCCCGAAACCACAAGGACUACUUUGAUAAAGUAAACAUGGAGCUCACAAUACUCCCACUUCCC